CAGCCGCCACGGUAAUACUAGGGGUGCAAGCGUUAUUCGGAUUGAUUGGGUGUAAAGGGUGUGCAGACGGCUUAUUAAGUCACUUGUUAAAUUCUUCGGCCUAACUGAAGGUCUGCAAGUGAUACUGAUGAGCUAGAGGGUGGAAGAGAGAAGUGGAAUUCUCGGAGUAGCGGUAAAAUGCGUAGAUCUCGAGAGGAACACCAGUGGCGAAAGCACUCUGCUGGGCCGACACUGACACUGAGAGACGAAAGCUAGGGGAGCAAAUGGGAUUAGAUACCCGAGUAGUCCCUGUCUCUUAUAC
rnacentral:rRNA from 1 species